GCGCCCGUAGCUCAGUUGGAUAGAGCGCACGCCUCCUAAGCGUGAGGCCACCGGUUCAAAUCCGUUCGGGCGCGCCA
rnacentral:tRNA from 1 species